GCCUAAUACAUGCAAGUCGAGCGGACAGACGAGGUGCUUGCACCUCUGAAGUCAGCGGCGGACGGGUGAGUAACACGUGGGUAACCUACCUGUAAGACUGGGAUAACUUCGGGAAACCGGAGCUAAUACCGGAUAAUAUUUUCCACCUCAUGGUGGAAUAGUGAAAGACGGUUUCGGCUGUCACUUACAGAUGGACCCGCGGCGCAUUAGCUAGUUGGUGAGGUAACGGCUCACCAAGGCGACGAUGCGUAGCCGACCUGAGAGGGUGAUCGGCCACACUGGGACUGAGACACGGCCCAGACUCCUACGGGAGGCAGCAGUAGGGAAUCUUCCGCAAUGGACGAAAGUCUGACGGAGCAACGCCGCGUGAGUGAAGAAGGUUUUCGGAUCGUAAAACUCUGUUGUAAGGGAAGAACAAGUACGUUAGUAACUGAACGUACCUUGACGGUACCUUACCAGAAAGCCACGGCUAACUACGUGCCAGCAGCCGCGGUAAUACGUAGGUGGCAAGCGUUAUCCGGAAUUAUUGGGCGUAAAGCGCGCGUAGGCGGUUUCUUAAGUCUGAUGUGAAAGCCCCCGGCUCAACCGGGGAGGGUCAUUGGAAACUGGGAGACUUGAGUGCAGAAGAGGAGAGUGGAAUUCCAUGUGUAGCGGUGAAAUGCGCAGAGAUAUGGAGGAACACCAGUGGCGAAGGCGGCUCUCUGGUCUGUAACUGACGCUGAGGUGCGAAAGCGUGGGGAUCAAACAGGAUUAGAUACCCUGGUAGUCCACGCCGUAAACGAUGAGUGCUAAGUGUUGGGGGGUUUCCGCCCCUCAGUGCUGCAGCUAACGCAUUAAGCACUCCGCCUGGGG
rnacentral:rRNA from 1 species